GCACCAAUUCUCAAACGUCAUUUCGUUUGAAUAGGUUAAGCUCCUCUUGCAUUGCCAAGGUCCAAUGCUCAUCCCCAAUUUCUUCGGAAAUGGUUGAGGGUUCAAUUUGAGAAACGAAAGCAGUAUGUCCUAAGGUGUUCUUAAGAUUGUUUCGAGUACUUACCUUUUGUUCAAUGUCGCCAAUUACCUUGUCGAGAGGAUGGUCU
rnacentral:lncRNA from 1 species